rnacentral:rRNA from 1 species
CGUAGGGUGCAAGCAUUAUCCGGAGUGACUGGGCGUAAAGAGUUGCGUAGGUGGACAAGUAAGCGAAUAGUGAAAUCUGGGGGCUCAACCUCACAGACUAUUAUUCGAACUGCUCGUCUCGAGAAUGGUAGAGGUAACUGGAAUUUCUAGUGUAGGAGUGAAAUCCGUAGAUAUUAGAAGGAACACCAAUGGCGUAGGCAGGUUACUGGACCAUUUCUGACACUGAGGCACGAAAGCGUGGGGAGCGAACCGGAUUAGAUACCCGGGUAGUCCACGCCGUAAACUAUGGAUACUAGCUGUAGGAGGUAUCGACCCCUUCUGUAGCGAAGCUAACGCGUUAAGUAUCCCGCCUGUGGAGUACGGUCGCAAGACUA